rnacentral:snoRNA from 15 species
UUUAUAUGAUGAUAAAUUGCCUAAGUUCUGCUACUGAAUAAUAAUGAGGAUAGCAAAAAUACCAAAUUCACUGACAA